AGAGCAUGAACGGGGCAGGGGCAGAGAGAGAGAGGGAGACAGAAUCGGAAGCAGGCUCCAGGCUCAGAGCCUGACGCGGGGCUCUAACUCACGGACCGCAAGAUCGUGACCUGAACUGAAGUCGGACGCUCAACCGACUGAGCCACCCAGGCGCCCCUGAUACACUUUAAAAGGGUGCAUUUUAUUAAAGACGUGUCAAGUAAGAAGUUGCUGCGGCCAAGGUCAAAGAGGUUGCUACCUGUGUUCUCCUGUAAGGAUUUUGAUGGUUUCCUGUCUCACAUUUAGGUCUUUCAGCCACUUUGAAUUUAUUUUUGUUAAGAGUACACUUAUCUUGAUAAGCAAUGACUAAUACAUGGAAUUCUUAAAUCACUAUACUGUACACCUGAAAGGAAUAUAAAAUUGUAUGUUAGCUAUACUGGAAUUGAGAUAAAAUGAAAUAAAUUCCUGUUCUCCUAUUUGCACCUUGAA